GCUGGGGAAGCAUCCUGGUGAGUACGAGGCCAUAUCCCCGCCCCGGGAGCAGGCGGUCAAGAGGACCACAGCUGUUCCUGGACACUGAUGGGAAACACGCUGGGGAUGGCCAACCAGGAUGACACCCGGCCCGCGGGUGGCCUCAGCCCACAGCCCCAGGGACGUUACAGAGCUCUCUAGGAAUACCAAAGGCACAUUGGACUGUGAGCUGUUCAUGGAGCGGGGACACCAGUCACACGCAGACCCCUGACCAGGAGCUGAUGCAGGAGUAACCCUUCAGGAAAGAGAGGAAACAGGGCUUGGAAAUCCUGUGAGGCGCACGCACAGCUGUUCGGCCUCUGAAGGCACUGGAGCAAACCCUGCAUCCGAUGCCAUCGCCAUAGCCGACCACAAAAGAGGCUGUAGACACCAGAGCACAUGUCUCGAGGAGGGGCCACGUGCACCCCAAUGACGACAAGCUAAGGAAGCCCUCCUGAUUCUCCAUCACCCACCUCCGAAGGACCCAGGUAGGAGGAACCUGACCACUGGCUACCCUCUCCCAUUACCAGUCCUGACACCUCCUCGCUGAAGGCCAACCCCAUACUGGACCAGGCUCUAUUCCACAAAGGUGCACACUCACCCUGCGUCAGAGUCUCUGCUGUGCUGUUCCUUCUGCUCCAAACCUUCCCACCGCUGCUGGGUCCUGUCCAUCUGGUCCCCCUUAGAGUUCCCUCCUCAGAGGGGCUGUC